rnacentral:lncRNA from 1 species
GCUUCCAAAAGCGGAAGCGUCGACGAGAUGGAGAUGGAGGUUUACUACCCGCUGACUGCAAUCUCGAACAACCAGUGAACGGUGAUCAGGGUUGAUCAAAGAGUCAUUCGUAAGUAAUUCUAUGUCCUAAACUCGAAACUGAUUUUUGAUUUGUGAUCUAAGAUGUAGGUAGAAGUUGCAAGUCUACUUUAUGUGUCACCACUAUGUAUAGGGCCCUGAAUGAAUUCCCCGUUGAUACCUGUUCUAGAAAAAUAUUUCAACUAGAUGAUUCAGUUUUCAUUAGGUUAAGAUGGACAUAUUUAUGUCUCAUUAAAAGUGAUGCUGUUUAAUACAUUUUAAAUAAUUAAACAAGUCUUAAUCAAAUCUGAAAUGCUAUAUACAUAUUUAGUGUUUUAAAUCACAAUUUUCAUACUUGUAUUUGAGUGAAGUCUCAUAAAUCACAAUUUGUAUACGUGUAUUUGAGUAAAGUCUCAUAUGGAUCACUGGUUUGCUGUUUGGGAAUUGAUACAUUGUCGUUUGAGAUUAUGACUAUCGGAUGGACUAUAGGUAAAGUUAGUUGUUUCACUAGACUAAAUUGUUAAAUAAAUGAAUUUUAAUGCUAUUUGAAGAAUGCUCUUGUGGUUAAACAUGUUGGUUAUGAUUUUUGUAUUUAAAGAUGAGUUUUAUAUCACUAACUCGCUGAUUAGAGUUGUUGAUGCUACAGGUAAGUUUGUUAUGCCAAGGUAAAGUUUGUUUUUCAAUAAUGAUUCGCAUUAAUAUUUUCAUUGUAGCUUAUUGUUGGGUGAUUAUCUUAUUUUAUAGUUGGAAUUUGCUUAUUGGAUAAUAAGAUCAUGACAACCCUCAUAAAGGCUUGUGAUACUACAAGAGGAAUUGAUCCUCAUAUGCAUUUGAAACAAAAUCAACUGACUCUACAUGAACAGACCUGUUGCUUUUAGACAAAAGUUCAGAAGCUUGCUCCUAGGUGUUUGGAGUGGCGAGUUGACACAGAAGCAAUGAGGCCCUCGACAAAGGUAGUACCAAGGAAGCUAUUAACAGAUUCUUGCCUAUAAGAAUUUCAAAGUUUGGGAUUUUGGUGCUUGUUCAAUGCUUCUUAAGGUAACUUGGAGCACUAAUGAAUCUAAAUUGGAGCGCUAAUGAAUCGAAACAAGCCAAUGAAAAAACUAAGGAAGACGGAAAAUGGGAAGAACUCAUGAUACCCGCAACAAACCCAUUAAGACAAUGACUUAUAAGUAUUAUGUUAUCUUGGUUUUUUUUUUAAUUUGUGUUCUAGAACUCACAAGUUAUAGAUCUUUACAUUUUUUAUUUGUUCACAAGUAGUAUUCUAUCUAAGCACAUUUCCUACAUAAAUUGUGAAUUCAUAGAAAUUUGUAAAUUGUUUG